GUGUGUGGCAUAAUACGGAAAAAAUGUAUAAUUAGGUGUGAUAGGCUUUUCAAAAACCAAGAUAUCUUGAUAGUACUAAAACGUAUUUAGUACGUAAGGCAAAUAUAAAGUGUUUAGGCUUUAUAUUUCUUCAAAAUUGGGUGGCUGGCUCGAACGAUUUAACCAUCUGUUUGUCUUAUAUAAUAACACAAUUGUUCCAACAUUGAAUUUAUUAAGUACUUUAAACGUCAAUUAUUUGGUGAAUAAAUAAUGUUACCAUUAGUAUUUCUUUAAGGCAUCUUUAAUGAACUCGGCAAUCAAUAUCCUCGACUGUUUAUCAAAAACAUAGCUGUAUGUUGUGUAUAUAUAGUUAUUUCUGCUCAAUGUAAUAUAAAUAGCCGCAGUACUCUGACUGUGCAAAGGUAGCAUAAUCAAUUGGCUUAUAAUUGAAGUCUAGUAUGAAAGAAUAUACGGGGAUAUUCUAUAUAGGGAUGUUUUGAAAAAUUGCUUAAUAAGUGAAAAUGCUUAUGUAAAAAUAAUAGACGAGAAGACCCUAGAAAUUUUAAGGAAACAUAACCAGGUUCUUUUUGUUGGGGCGACAGAGUAGCAUGUAACCUACGAAGAAUUAAAUAGGAAUAUUGUAUUAUGAGUAAUCAAAUUACUCUAGGGAUAACAGCAUAAUAUUUAAAAGUUUGUGACCUCGAUGUUGGACUAGGAAACUUUUAACCCAGAAGGUUAACAGUGGCGCUCUGUUCGAGCAAUUACUCCUACAUGAUCUGAGUUCAGACCGGCGUAAGCCAGGUCAGUUUCU
rnacentral:rRNA from 1 species